rnacentral:lncRNA from 1 species
AUGGUUGGAUCAGAGACAGACAGCAUCCCCUCCAGUGUUGGCCUGCAGGAUGAUGCCAUGGAGGUCGAGCAGUCUGACCAUAGGAAAGGAGACACGGGAAGUGAUGACUCUGGAACUAUGGAUACAAAGUAUCCUUGUCCACCUCCAAAAAGGACAGACGCAGGGAAAAUGCAGGUGUCGGCAAAAGAGAGACUUAAAAUCUAUUUCCACGCCAUCCUCUCAAUGGACUUCAAUCUUGACCAGAAUGAGGAUCGCCUUUUCAUAUGGGCAGGGGAGGAAACGGGGAGCUGGGAAUCCAAUGCAGUUGAGCUAACCGUGACAAAGUGGGUUCGCUUCACGUGUGUGUCUACUGUAUGUUCAACCGGGAAUUUAGUGGUUUGUCCCAUUUGUGUUGCCCUAAAAUGUAAUCCUAUAAGUAAUUAUUUCUACAUAAAGAGUGAUGUAACACAUCCUAAUGUCAUAACCCUUGUUGUGUUUAAAGCCACAGUCCAAUCCUGGGACAGGAUGUGAUGUUGAGUGGCAAGAAACUAAAUAGAACUAGUCAGGUUUCCAUUGACCCAGGUUUAUUCCACACAAGCAAUGUCGGCCCCCCCAAAAAAAUAUUUUUGACAUGUGUAAUGGAAACGGAAGAUGUAGGAGAAAUCUUCUAAAGAUCAACACAAAUUUGAUCUGUUGGCCUACUGCUGGCAAAAUCAUUUUUCUUUAAAAAAAAAUCUCUCUCUAUAUAUAUAUAGAGGGAGAGAUUUUUUUUUAAAGAAAAAUGAUUUUGGGUCAUAGAUAUAUAGAUAGAUAGAUAUAUAUAUCUAUCUAUCUAUCUAUCUAUCUAUCUAGAGAGAUUUUUUUUUUAAGAAAAAUUAUUUUGGGUCAUUGGAAACCUGACUACUUC